AAGCAAGCAUGGUAAAACAUAAAAUGGAUUAUUUCUUCUCUCAUGUUACCAAUAAAUGGAAAAAAAACUUUGGUGUGUUUGGCAGUGCUCCACUUCCUUUACUUCACAACUGUGUGAAAUGAGAGAGGUAUUUUGUAAUAAUGCAGGUAUACUACAUCUAAAAACAAAUACAGCAUUUUCUCUCCUUCACCUAGGAGAAAAUGAGAGCAAAGUUAAACUCACAUCUUCAGAGCAGUGCCGACAGGUCUUUGAACACAUGCAGACAGGAGAGUUGAUUGGGUCACUCAGGCUAAUGGUGCUACUUGUGGAGAUGAUUCAAAGUGCUCCAAGUCAGUAAUCACCUAAUUGGCCUCGGUGGACUUCAGAUCUUUGCUUCCCAUAACAAAGAUGAGGUGGUAUAUUGCUCCUCAGACAUGGAUGAGAUGCAUACUUCCAUCUGAGAAAUCAAGUCAGAACAGAAUAAGAUGCUUGAAGACUCCUGACAGGAAAAGACAAAAGAAGAUUAGAAACCUUGCACGCAGCAGCAAAAACAGACUGUGAAUAUUGAAAGCAGGAUCCUGGAUUUUAAAUACAAGCUCAAUUUUCAUGUUUGGAUUUAACCUCUGCAUGUGAGCACAUCUGCCAGAUGAUCCAACCCACUGAUGCUACCUGCCCUCCUAAGUUGAUCUCCCUGGCUGAAGGGUCAGGAGGAGUACUGCCAACCUGGACAGGGUUUCUCAUCUUGAAGCAGAAGAUAGGAAGAGUACAUUCAAGUUAUGAAAUGCAGCAUCAGGGAGAAGAACAGUGCUGGGCCAAAAACCUUGCUUUGCCCCACCACUCAGCAUCGUGCUGCAGCAGGGAGAGGGCAGCAGUCCCUCUGGUACCCCUAUUCUCCAUGCAAAGAGCAGCAGACGGCGGUGAUCAGAUCCAGCCUUGCUGACCUUGCACCAACAUGGAUAUGGAGCAGCCACAUGAGUAGUCAACUUUUGAAUAAAUCACACUGCUCCUGCCACUCACAGUGCUGUCAAGUUACUUGUCAAAAUCAACGUGGUCAGGUGGGUCCAUUUCCAGCCCCUGUGCAGGCUACAUUACCUGCCGCUUUUGGAUGUGCUGUUAGUUCAGACAGGCUGCAUGAGAAAAGGGGCAUGAGAGCAUUUCUGGGCUUUCCACCACGCUAGUGAUUUGUUAGUGUUCUAGCCAUGCCAGUGCAUGCUGAAGUCUUUU
rnacentral:lncRNA from 1 species